rnacentral:rRNA from 1 species
AUGUCUCCUCCAGAGCCUCCGGAACCACACGGAGACAAGAAGAAGGAAAAAGUCGCAGUAGGUGCUCCUUUCACCUAGAUUGCAUGGCACUUGGGGAAUUGCCUUGAGGAUGCUACCAAUGAAGAGGUCCAGACAUACGCUUGUGUCUACAUGUGGUACGUUAUGUCCAGGACUCUGUUUACUAACGCCAUAGGCAAGAAUGCUCCAUGGAUGUGGCUGAAGGCGUUGACCGUCUUCGAUAGCAAAUGGAGUUGGGGUUCGGCGGCAUUGGCUUACUUAUAUAGACAGGUACACAGUUGUUUGUUUUCACUUCAUUAUCAAUGUGAUGUUCCUAUUAAGUCAACCAUGUGUUUCUUUUAUGUGCAGUUGGACGACGCGUCUUGUAUGAUCUCAAGGGACGGACGUAUUGGUGGUUGUAUGGUCGUACUUUCUGUAUGGAGCUGGGAGCGCUUGCCAAUUGGAUGCCUGAAGCAGGUGAAGUAUGAGGAGUGGGACGACAAAGACGAUCCACUACGGCUCCCCACUUGGGCUUACAAGUGGGAUGUGUUAAAUGAGAUGAGGGACGAUCCCUUGCUCAUGUAUAAUCAGUACACGAGCGAGUUGGACACGAUUAUGACUGAGCAAGUUAUUUGA